rnacentral:lncRNA from 1 species
GGAAAACAGACUGUUGUAUUAUGGAUCCAUCUAUUGGCUAGUAGCAGCCCAUGAGAAAUCUGGCAUGAGAACUUUGCCCAAACAAAAUGAUGACUGAAGAACACUCAUCUGAUUCUCUCUGUUGGAGAAUUUGAGUGCAAAAUACAAAGAGCGUAUUCCAGUUGCUGAUGAAAGCUGAUGCUGGAAAAGACACGAAAGUCAGGUAACAGAGAUGGCAGUGGCUGAAAGACAGACUGAAUAUGCAGAGGUUGUGAAUGCAUUCAAGUUCAGAGUGCAGAUGUCAUGACUAAGCAGAAGCUAAAAGAUACCCAGCAGUAGAGCUAGAGAGAGGAGCUGAGUCAUAAUAUUGGCAAGAGAUUGUCUAACUAAAGAAUGACAAGUUAAUGUUGGUGGUAAAAUGACUUUGGAUCCUAAAUCAUCUUCUAAUUCUCAAACUCUAUUCUUCUCCUUUGAGGUGCAGAAUAUAUCUGUUACUAGGUUAGCAAAAAUGCCGUUAGUUCUUUUUUCCAUAUUUAUUUUUACAACAAACCCUCAUUAUUUGAAGUUCUAGCAAAUACAAAAAGGUGGAAAAACCAAAGCUC